CCCAAUUCAAUUUCUGGUUCUGGUCUAAUCUACUUUCUGGUUCGGAUUUGAUUCCAUUUCUGGUUCAGGUCUGGGUCAAUUACAUAUUGGUUCAGAUCUGACUCAAUUAAUUCUGCGUUUAAGAAUAUUGGGCUCAGAUAAGGGCCCAAUCCAGCCUGGGGCCUUUAAAGCUCGGUUCAUUUGAAGCCCACCGCCGGAAUCAGGCCCAAUUCAACCCACAUC
rnacentral:lncRNA from 1 species